rnacentral:rRNA from 1 species
AUUGAACGCUGGCGGCAUGCCUAACACAUGCAAGUCGAACGGUAACGGACCGCUGGGGAUUCCUUCGGGAUGACCUUGGUGCCGACGAGUGGCGGACGGGUGAGUAACACUUGGGAAUCUGCCCAGUAGUGGGGGACAACAUUCGGAAACGGAUGCUAAUACCGCAUACGCCCUAUGGGGGAAAGUGGGGGAUCUUCGGACCUCACGCUAUUGGAUGAGCCCAAGUCGGAUUAGCUUGUUGGUGGGGUAAUGGCUCACCAAGGCGACGAUCCGUAGCUGGUCUGAGAGGAUGAUCAGCCACACUGGGACUGAGACACGGCCCAGACUCCUACGGGAGGCAGCAGUGGGGAAUAUUGGACAAUGGGCGCAAGCCUGAUCCAGCAACGCCGCGUGGAGGAAGAAGGCCUUCGGGUCGUAAACUCCUGUCAGUUGGGACGAAAAGCCAUCGGUGAAUACCCGGUGGUUAUGACGGUACCAGCAGAGGAAGCCCCGGCUAACUCCGUG